GCGGCAUGCCUUACACAUGCAAGUCGAACGCGAAAGCACUUUCGGGUGUUAGUAGAGUGGCAAACGGGUGAGUAACACGUGGGAAUAUACCUUCAGGUGCGGAAUAGCCUCGGGAAACUGGGAUUAAUACCGCAUGAUGUCUUCGGACCAAAGAUUUAUCGCCUGAAGAUUAGCCCGCGUCAGAUUAGCUAGUUGGUGGGGUAAUAGCCUACCAAGGCAACGAUCUGUAGCUGGUCUGAGAGGACGAUCAGCCACAUUGGGACUGAGACACGGCCCAAACUCCUACGGGAGGCAGCAGUGGGGAAUAUUGGACAAUGGACGAAAGUCUGAUCCAGCAAUGCCGCGUGAAUGAUGAAGGCCUUAGGGUUGUAAAGUUCUUUAAGUGGGGAAGAUAAUGACGGUACCCACAGAAUAAGCACCGGCUAACUUCGUGCCAGCCGCCGCGGUAA
rnacentral:rRNA from 1 species